rnacentral:rRNA from 1 species
GAUCAUGGCUCAGGAUGAACGCUGGCGGCGUGCUUAACACAUGCAAGUCGAACGGAACUACUUUAAUGAGAUUCUUCGGAAAGGAUUUGAUUUAGUUUAGUGGCGGACGGGUGAGUAACGCGUGGGUAACCUGCCUCAUACAGGGGGGAUAACAGUUGGAAACGGCUGUUAAUACCGUAUAAGCGCACAGUACCGCAUGGUACAGUGUGAAAAACUCUGGUGGUAUGAGAUGGACCCGCGUCUGAUUAG